UGAGUAGUUUGUCUUAAGGACAGAUCCCGGUUGUCCCUGUUACAGGUCCUGUUUGUCUUAAGGACAGAUCCUGUUUGUCCCUGUUACAGGUCCUGUUUGUCCCUGUUACAGGUCCUGUUUGUCUUAAGGACAGAUCCUGUUGUCCCUGUUACAGGUCCUGUUGUCCCUGUUACAGGUCCUGUUUGUCUUAAGGACAGAUCUUGUUGUCCCUGUUACAGGUCCUGUUUGUCUUAAGGACAGAUCCUGUUUGUCCCUGUUACAGAUCCUGUUUGUCCUGUUUGUCCCUGUUACAGGUCCAGUUUGUCCCUGUUACAUUCGCAACCUGGAACCCAUUUCCAUCAUGGCCACCUAAUCAUCCCCCUCA
ensembl:lncRNA